CUUUAAAAGCCUUGUCUGCUUUAAAUUGAUUUAUGGAAAUAAUAAAGUGACAACAUUUGGAUAUUGAUUGUUAAAUGAAGAUUAUAUGCAAAAAGAUAACCUUCUACGUAAUUUUUUAUAAUUGAAUAAUGGAUCUAAGCCAACGCAAAGGACUUGUCAUGGUGACUACCUAAAUCACAAUGCCAAAUAUUAUAUAACAGCGUCAACACAGAUUUGUAAAAAGCGCAUGUCACGAACAUCACAAUCCACAAUACGAGGAACUCAGAUAGCAAGUAGUAUAUACGGAAGGCAUAUUCAGGUUAAAUCGACAUAGUUUACAAUUCCUAGAAUAUAUAUAGAAUAUGACUUAUUUUAUGUCGAGUAUUCGUCUACGAGGCAGCGAUCUAACAAUACAAAAGAAAAAGAAAUAAGACAUUUAUGGACGUUUUUCAAUAUAAGUGUGAAUUUCAGAACUAAAAACAUGGAAGAUCAGCUUGUCUAGAAUUUUAUUUCAAGAGUUAUUUU
rnacentral:lncRNA from 1 species